rnacentral:RNase_P_RNA from 1 species
UAAGCAAUUCGGGCAAUCGCUUUUGGAAUCCGUUCCAAAAGAGGAAAAUCCGGUCGUCUUUCUCUCUCAAAAAAGAGAAAACGUAGUGGAUAACGUCCACCGGGAGUAAUCUCAGGGGUGCGAACAGAAACGCCAAAAAGAGAAAUCUUUUUGGCCUCGUAAAAAACGAGGUUUUUUGGGGAAACCCAAAAACUGAAACGGCUAAAUCCCUACGGGACGCAAGGGUUGUGUCUCUUUUAAAAGAGAAAUGCCCGCUAAAGAUAAAGAGCGAUCUUUAUCUCAGAGUAAUGAUUGUCUAAAACAGAAACCGGUUUACGGAAUUGCUUAGGUU